AACCCAUGUUGAGGGCACCCAUGUAGUAGGUCUUUGUAUCUCUCCCAUGUAUCAUAAAGUGUUUCUAAAUCCAUCUGCACAAAAGAAGAGAUAUCAUUCCUCAACUU
rfam:Gossypium arboreum cultivar AKA8401 contig_36390_3, whole genome shotgun sequence.